rnacentral:rRNA from 1 species
GAUUAAAGUAACAAAGGGCACACAAGGGAUGCCUAGGUAGAAAGAGCCGAAGAAGGACGUGGUAAGCUGCGAUAAGCUUGGCGAAGUUGCAAACGAACGUGGAUGCCAAGAUUUCCGAAUGGAGCAAUCUGUAAAGAGUCAUGUCUUUACACGAAAGAGGGAACCGGGUGAACUGAAACAUCUAAGUAAUCCGAGGAAAAGAAAGUAACAACGAUACCCUAAGUAGCGGCGAGCGAACGGGGUAGAGCCUAAACCAUAUUCAUGUCAAGGAUGCAGCCGUUGUGGAUAUGGGGUAGCGGGAAAGAGAGAGAAAGAACUGCAAGCUAUUUCGCAGACGUAAGCAAAGGAACAAGAAAGAUCUGGAAAGGUCUACCGUAGAAGGUGAAAGUCCUGUAUUGGUAGUUUUCUUGCGCUGUAUCUCUUCUCCCAAGUAAUGUGGAACACGAGGAAUUCUGCAUGAAUCUGCGAGGACCAAAUCUCGUAAGGCUAAAUACUCUUUCUAACCGAUAGCGCAUAGUACCGUGAGGGAAAGGUGAAAAGAACCCCGGGAGGGGAGUGAAAGAGAACCUGAAAUUGUGUGCUUACAAGCGGUCAGAGCCACUUUGGUGGUGAUGGCGUGCCUUUUGGAGAAUGAUCCUGCGAGUUACGUUUCAUGGCGAGGUUAAGAAGAACGGAGCCGAAGGGAAACCGAGUCUGAAUAGGGCGCAAGAGUCGUGGAGCGUAGACGCGAAACCCGGUGAUCUAAGCCUGUCCAGGAUGAAGCUGUGGUAAGACACAGUGGAGGUCCUAACCCACCGCCGUUGAAAAGUUGGGGGAUGAGGUAGGUUUAGGGGUGAAAAGCCAAUCGAACCGGGAGAUAGCUCGUUCUCUCCGAAAUGCAUCUAGGUGCAGCCUUGCGUGUUUAAUGAUGGGGGUAGAGCACUGACUGAACUAGGGGGCAUAUAGCUUACUGAAUUCAAUCAAACUCCGAAUACCAUUAUUCAAGAGCGCAGGAGUGAGACCAUGGGAGUUAACUUCCAUCGUCGAAAGGGAAACAACCCAGACCACCAGCUAAGGUCCCAAAUCAUAUCUAAGUGGGAAAGGAGGUGGAGAUUCUUAAACAACUAGGAGGUUGGCUUAGAAGCAGCCAUUCCUUGAAAGAGUGCGUAAUAGCUCACUAGUCGAGAGUCUCUGCGCCGACAAUGUAACGGGGCUAAGAUAUGAACCGAAGCUGUGGAUGUCGUAAGACAUGGUAGGAGAGCGUUCUGUAGGCCGUCGAAGGAGGACUGAAAGGAACUCUGGAGGUAUCAGAAGUGAGAAUGCAGGAAUAAGUAGCGAGAAGGGGAGUGAGAAUCUCCCCCGCUGGAAGACCAAGGUUUUCAGGGUAAAGCUUGUCUUCCCUGAGUAAGCCGGGACCUAAGCCCAGGCUAGAAUGCGUAGGCGAAUGGAAAACAGAUGAAUAUUUCUGUGCCAGUUCUACUUUGUGAAGGAGGGACGCAGAAGGGUAUGCGCGCAGACGAACGGAAGAGUCUGUAGAAGCAUGUAGAGUGACUUGGUAGGCAAAUCCGCCAGGUUAGACUUGAGGUGUGACAUAUACUCGCAAGAGGAAUGCGCAAAUCCCACGCUGCCGAGAAAAGCUUCUAGCGGUAAAGUAGAGACUGCCCGUACUGGAAACCGACACAGGUGGUCAGGAUGAGAAAUCUAAAGCGGACAGGCUAACUCUCGUUAAGGAACUCUGCAAAAUGGCCCCGUAACUUCGGGAGAAGGGGUGCCU